AUUGUAACUAAUACAAGUCUCUCUGUGUAUUCAUUUGGGCCUAACUCAGGCAGGCGGCUGUUGUAAAGCUCACACAUGGCAGUGGGGCUCAGGCGGCUUUUGGCAGAAAGAUUUAUCAUAACACAUGAGGGCAUGGGUCAUAUCAUGGAUUAGAGCCAAUCCUUCAAACUUGAUGGCCUCUGUAAUGACCUCAUCUUCAAGGAAAGUCAUACUCUGAGGUACCAAGGAUUUCAACAUAUCUUUUAGGGACCAGACAAAAUUUAGCCCACAACAAAGGUGACAGACAUUUUCAGAAGCUAAAAUUAAUGGACAUGCUGAGAAUUAAUGCUAUUUGUGCCUCUUGCCUGGGAACUGGCUCCUCUUCAACUAUUACGUAUUUCAUUCUUAUGCUGUUUAGCAAUUCUAAGUUUUCGGAUUUUCUUCCUUUAUGUGUGUUGAGGGUGCAGCUAUAUAUGAAUAUGUGAAUGCAUUCGGGCAUACAAGUCCUUGAUUGCACAUGCAUGUAUGUGUGCCUGUCUGUGGGGGCUAGGGGUUAUUCUGGGAAUCUUCCUUGAUCACUCUUCCUCCUAUUCAUUGAGGCAGGCGCUCUCAAUCAAAGUCAGAACUCACACAUGUGGUUCAUCAUGCUAGCCAGCUUGACCUAGAGCUCCUCUGUCUUCACCUUCUGAGGCUGGAAGUACAGGUGAGCUGCCACACCCACCUAGUGUUUGGGUAGGUUCUGGAUGUUUGAGCUCUGAUCUUCACAAUUCUGCAGCAAAUCUGUGAACCGCUGAACCUUCUCCCUAGCUGGAAGCCAAAAAUUACCAGCUUGAAAUAAAUCUUGCAACCUCAUGCAGUCAACUCUGCUUUUACUUCCUUCUUCUAUUCUGGCACCAAGGAAGAAAGGAGGAAAGGAAUGAGGGAGAAAGGGAGGGAGAGAGGGAGGGAGGGAGGGAGGGAGGGAGGGAGGCAAAAUAGUACACAUUGUGUGUGUGUGUGUGUGUGUGUGUGUGUGUGUUUAUGUGUGUGUGGGUGUGUGUGUGUGUGUGGUGUGUGUGAUAAACUUAGGAACAAUUACCACAUAAAUUCAUUUGGGAUGUUUUCUAUUGAAUUAUAUCUUUCUUGAGAAUAUUUCCUUUAAAAUUAUUACAUUUUUAUGUGUGUGUGAGUGUGUGUACCAUACAAAUGUGUGGAAUUUGGACAACUUGAGAGAGUUGGUUCUUCCUCCCACCUGUGGAUCUCAGGGAAAAAGGCACCUUGCUGAGACACCUUGCCAGCCCCUUAGGAUAUUUCUUAAAGGGGGCGUUUACCCAUGCACUCACCCACCGACUCUAUGUAAGUAUGAUCGCUGCCACACACACAAGCUCAAAAGUGAACUAAAAAUUACUGCACCCACACAAUUCUCUCCUUUGAGCAGCCUGGCUUUUGUGUUCUAUCACAAUAGUUGGGGAGAAGUUGGGAGAUAAAAUAAAUGGCCACCCAGUCAUGUUAUUCAUUCUUAUAAUUUCUGAAGAGCAGAAAGAUGGGUUUCCCUUUCAAAAGGUAUAACUGGGGACUGAGCCAAAAUUGAAAUAGUGUCAGUUUUUUCUUUGAUCUCAAGGCGACCCAUGCUCCUCCAGUGAGUCAUUGGGAAGACUUGAAGCAUCCAUGAACAUGAGGAGUCCUUAGAAAUCCAGCUCACACAGUUGGUGCUUUCAGAAAAUUUCAAAUUUAAUUGGCAUUUACUUGGGGAAGGGAGUGUUGGCCUCCAGUGGUGUGUGCGUCAUGAGAACAUGGAAACACUGCUGUGCCUUUACUCUGGGAGUGAUGGAGAAGAGCGUACUAGGAUGUACUGGCAUCAACAUAUUGUUACAACAUGAGUAACAAGGCAGCCUGAUGACAGAAGGGGCUCACACAUCUAUAACAGUCACACCUCCUCCACCCUCGGAGGUGUGGGUACACAUGGCAGAUGUGGAACAAAGGCAGAAGAUGCUGUGCUGCAACAAGCCAUGUACUACAAGUUCCUAAGAAUGGGUCCUGUGUUCCAGUCUCAGCAGGUCUGACAGUAUCUUCCAUCACCAAGGAUGACGAGGCUUCAUGCAUUCUGGAGUAACACACUGUCCCUUAGAAGGAAAUCUACCUGUUACAUCAUCUUGAAGUCUCAGAGAGUCAAGGCCAAAGAUAAGAACUCGGGGAUGGUUUCUGGUUUUAUUUUACUUUUUAAAGAUUUAUUUAUAUUGUUAUUUGUAUAUGGGUGGGGCUGUAUGUGCCUGUGGGUGCCUAGUACUUCCAAAAGAGGUUCCCUGGUCCCUUAAAGCUGGAGUUAGUGAGCUGUGGAACUGACUCAUGUGGGUGCUGUGAACUGAACUCUGGUACUCUACAAGUGCAGUAAGUGAUACUCACGGCUGACCGCCCUGAGCCCAGGCUUUUAAAGCUUUGUCUUCACUGCCGGCUUCACUGGGCUUUCCAUCUACAGCAUUUUACUGUCAAGCAAAACUCACUUAUUUCAAACUUCCUGUAUUCUUUGGUGUCAGGACCACGGCCAUGUUAUAAAAAACACUUUUUUUCUUGACUUUUUCUCAUCAAAGGUUCCCCCUGAAGGGUGAAGUUCCCCCCGGGUUCAUAGAACCCGAUUUUCCUGUUCUACCAGCAGGCUCAGGGGAGAGUGCCUCCCCAUUUUCUAAGCAACAAUACAUAGAUAAAAAUGUCAAAGCCUGGCAGCCCGUCUCUAGCAUAUGUGCUUCUAUUUAUGAAGACACUUAGCGUGGAUUUAGUAAGUUCACCACAAAGCUCCAGGGGCACCUGUCUCUUUAAAUCCAUCUCCUCCCAAGUGAAAUUUGUGGUCCUGAUGAAUGGCAGAGCAGAGUCAUCCAUAAAAGGGCAGAGGAGAAUCACACUCAUUUGCAUACAGUAAUUAUUCUGUGAGUCAGGCCACCUUUAUUGCUGGCAGAAAAUCUACUGUCAGCAAUGCUAUGUAGAUCAAUUUUGAAAACUCAACAUCAGACAGGAAUUGUUUGGAAUCCUGUCGUCCAGCAUUCCUGCCACCUGCCCUCUGGUGACCAUGUUUCUGGGCCUAGCCCACCAGCCUGUUUCUCUAUCUGCCCUGUCUUGUGAUGGUGGAUGAUAUUUCUGGAGAGUUCUCUCGUAGGCAGGCUGGCCAUGGUCGGUUUCUAAAAUGGCUGAACAUGGGAAAGCAUGGAGACUCCAUUUUUCUGGAGGCUACCACUCCCCCAACAAAUACCCGGCAAGUCUAGGUGGCUCUAUCUGGGGACCAGAGGUGGAAGAGAGUUUGGAGACGGCCUUUGUCCCUUUCUAUACAGAAUGGAAGAAGGAACUUUGCCGUGGUUUGAUGAGAAAUACACCCCGUGGUCUUGGGCACUUGAACACUUGGUCCUCAGCUGUUUGGGGGGGUUGGGAAGUGUGGACACAUGGGAGGAAGAUGUCUGGAGGCAGCUUUGAGAGUUAAAAGAUUCAUGCCAUUCCCAGUUCUCUUUUUGCUCUCAGCUUUCUGCUCCAGCUGCUGUGCCUGCUGCCUGCCUCCUGCCUCUCCUCCAGGACAGUGAGCCAUGUGAAGUCUUCCUUCUGGAGUUGGGGAAGAAAGGAAGAGAACUUGAGCCAAAAGUCUGAAAGAGAAGGGACUCCUUACUUAAAGGAUACAGAGGCCCCGAGUCCCCUGUGUACAUCCUCAGUGGAAUGAUAGGAGAGAAGCUUCAACUGGAGAACCGCUAUCCGCAAAAGCAAAGAGAGCAAAAUGGCACUGAAGACAACUGAAGGUACAGGAGACAGCUAUUGUAUGAGCGCUUCCUUUGCUGGUGGGAGAAAGAAUGCUGAAGACAUAGUGGCUGAAUGGAUGGAGACUGAGCAUGAGUCGUGUGAGGGCUUAGGAAACAAGGAGCAUGGAGGCUCUGAUGAAGGUACGGAGGGUUUCCAUUGUAGGGAGAACAGAUCAAUCAUCAUGGCUUGAGAUAUAACUUUUGGGAGUCAUAAGAUAAAGACGGCAUAGGAAAUCCUUAUACCAAUACAGAAGAAAAAGCAAAGAUGAUCCAAGAAGCCCAAGUCUCUGGUGUGAGAGGUCUACAAGAGAGUGAAGGCUCAGCACAGUGACCAAAGGACCUGAGAUCACUGAUACAGGGAUGACCCAAAGAGUGGGGUGUCUGGAAGCUUGAGGGAAGAAUGGGCAUCCCAAGUGGGUCAGCCCCACUGCUGAGAGGCCAUGUACUAUGAGGACUGGGAAGGAGCCAAAGCUUUCAUUAAGACAGUGAGCUCUCAGAAGCCACUGGAUGAACUGGAUAAAAAUCUUCAUGGUGUAGGCUGAAGGGCAAGCCGCAUCUAGGACUGGACACCGUGAUACUGCAACAUGAAGGUGUGAUGUGUGACAUAGGAUUGGGAGAGAAGACAGUGUCAAGACAAAGGCUCCACUUUUGAAGAAGUCUUGCCUACAAAGGAGAAAGCAUUGCAGAAGAGAAGAGGGCUGUGGAAAGUAGAAGAAGAAGAUCUGGUGCAGAGAGAUUCAGGAUCUACCAGAUGUUCCUGCCAGGAAUAGGAAGACCGUCUUCCUCCCAUCAUGUGUCCUUCCCAAGGAGGCCCCGCAGUUAGCUUUGCAUGGAUGGAGCUAGUACCUGCAUGCUUAGCCACUCGAAGUGGCUACACGCGGGCUCUGCUAUUCGUUAAAGAUCAAGCUGCCAAUACGAGUGUGCUCGGAUUAGCCCUUCCUGUAACUGCACCAGUGCCUGUGUUUGCAUUCCUCCCAACUGAAAAUUUGUCAGAGAAGAAAGGCAUUAAACCUGUCACUGCAGAUAAAGAUCAGACAUUUGAUUUCAAACAGAAGAGGCAAACGCCCUACCUCGGGCUCUAUUAACUCUGGGGUAUACUGUUCUAAGUCAUGUGGGGAACUAGACAAUGUUGGGACGGGGAAAUAAAUUCAAGUCUCACUGCCAUUUCUGUAGGUACAGAGGAUAUUGGCCUUUGAACAGAAAUCCAGAGCAGAGAUCAAGCCACAAGCCCUUCCUGGCUUCUUCUGAACAUGGGCUCACAAAAUGAGAGCAUCUAGACCAGUCACAACUAUUUACAGAAAAGUAAAAGCUUGAGAAGCCACACUGAGAAAACUUUUGGACAUUUAAAAACUUCUACUACCUCCUAAUACCUACAUAAUCUUUGGAAGUUAGCACUGUGUUACAUGCUUGUCUUGCAAACAUGAGAACCUGAGUUCAGUCCUCAGCAUUCAUGCUAAAAAAAUAAAAACAGGCACAAUGGAUGGCACACUUAAUAGCCACACCACUGAGGAACAGGAAGGUAAGGAUAGGAGGGUCCCUAUAGCUCACUAGCCUGGCAGCUUGGCUUAUUUUAAAGUUCCAGGUCAGUGAGAGAUCCUGUCAAAAAAUAAAUAAAUAAAUAAAUAAAUAAAUAAAUAAAUAAAUAAAUAAAAGCAAGAUCAAUGGGGCCUAAGGAACAACAUUUAAAGUUGUCCUCUGACAUCCACAUCUGUGCACAGACACAAACGCAUGCAUAAAGGAACAUGUGCUCACACAAAAAGAGAAAACAGCUCCUCGCCAAUAAAUAAAAUGUAGACCUUCAAAACCCUUCCUCCUGCUGUCAGAGCCCUCUCCCUAUCACAUAGGAAACCAGCGAGCUUACCUAAUCAUUGGAUAAUAUACAAGUUGUUGAUCUUAACCUGAAACUUGAGUUUAUGUGGCAGCUUUUUCCAAGGGGUUUGAUCACUGAGAAGAUUAAUAUUCAUAACGUUUCAGUGACUCUUGAGAUGGCAGGUACUAUUAUCCCCAUUUUAUGGAUUCAGACACUGGGUCAGGGAAAGGUUAAGUGGCACACUGGAUAUCACAAGGGUUUCAUUUCAAGCUCUCAAAUUUAGUCCACCUUCCAUGAUGUUAUUUCUGAAGGGAAGUGCGAGGUGGUCGAGCAGAAGCUGGGAAUCCAGGCUGCAGCCUCAGCUCCAGGACUGACUCAUCACACAGCCUUCAGCAAGUCAUUUAACCUCUCAUAGCUCUGCCUCCACAUUAGGUAAAAUUGACAAUUCUUACCCACCAUCCACACCCUGCUGUGAGGAUUAAUGAAAUGAGACCUGUGCUCUAAGCCUCUUGGUAAGAAAGGCUCUCUAUAAAUACGAAAUCUGCUAAGUGUCUUCACAGAGGUUGCACAGCCCUCAGGAGAUAGGGAGCAAUGUUGUGCAUUUCAAUAGCUGUCCCUAAGUGUCCCCGGGGCGUGUCCCUAGGGCCAGAGAGGCAGGCAUAGACUCUCUACCAGGAGAAGUCCAGGUUGCAAAAAGUCCUGUGGCUGUGGGAAUGGUGUGGUCCCUUUGCUUGCGUGGGCUGGAAAGGGCCUGUCCAUGGGACCCACCAGGCAGUGGUGCUGCAUGCCAAAGCUGGCCUGGAGGGUUGCUUUUGGAAAUACCACUGAGAUAUUAUGGUUCUGGAAGACCCCGUUGGUAUUCUAAAAAUGAGGUUGGAACUGCUUUUGCACAUCAAAGAAUGCUUAGGUGACUCUUGCCACUAGGCAACCUCCGAGAGUUCAUCAGAGUGGCCCAAGUUCUCAGAGCCUGUGUAAGUACUAACCCGUGGGAGCAGGAGGGGCUGGUGGACAGAAUUCACAUUUGGGGUAGAAAAGAGGGACUGGAAUUUAACACACCACACCACAGGCCCUUUAACCUUGGACUUGAAAAAUGAUGGAGGCAACAUCUCUCCUCUGUCCCUGUCAUUCCACAGCAUUCUCUGCAGAUGUUGUAUGGUAACUUUAGUCCAUACCUCUAUCCCAGAACCUGUCUCUUAGGCACCAAGCUCCCAUGGACAACUUCCAGGCAGCAUCUCCUGAGUAUUAGAUAAAUGUCUCUGAUGCAGCUAGCCCAGCACUUCCCUGAGUAUUAGGCAAAUGUCUCUGAUGCAGCUAGCCCAGCACUUCCCUGAGUAUUAGGCAAAUGU